rnacentral:rRNA from 1 species
UACGUAGGGUGCGAGCGUUAAUCGGAAUUACUGGGCGUAAAGCGUGCGCAGGCGGUUUUGUAAGUCGGGUGUGAAAUCCCCGGGCUUAACCUGGGAAUGGCAUUCGGGACUGCAAGGCUGGAGUGCGGCAGAGGAGACUGGAAUUCCUGGUGUAGCAGUGAAAUGCGCAGAUAUCAGGAGGAACACCAGUGGCGAAGGCGGUGCUCUGGGCCGGAACUGACGCUGAGGAGCGAAAGCGUGGGGAGCAAACAGG